rnacentral:lncRNA from 1 species
AAGACUAUGGUGACUAAGGAACUCACUUAGCAAUGAAAAGCUUUCGAUUUCUCUCUUACCAAAACAAGUAAUCCAAAAAUCUAAUUUUCUUUUAAAGGCAGUUAUUUUGUUGUUGGUAUUGAAAACUGUUGUCUGUUUUCCUUGUAGUGACAGGUUUAAUUCGUUAAGUUUUCCAAACAUGUCUGCUAAAAAUGCUAGUCUAAAUAACCAGCUUUUAUCGAACAAACGGUCUUUUAAAUUAAAAGGAACAUCUGUAAGAGAAGCUUCUAAUUCUGUUCUUAGUUCAAAAAGCCUUGUCAAAGUUUUACCCCGAGACAACCAUCUCACUUCAGUAUGGAGCAAUAGUGGUUUAUGAUCGCUACCAUAAUCUUGACAUAAUAUUGAGAACAAUCGGGAUUGUAGUGGACGUGACUUGACAAAAUUAAUUAUUUUUACUGACUCAACAGGAACCAAUUUUAAAUUUGGUGGCAUUUUCUUAACCGCGAGUGAUUGUCUAUGCAGGAUGCAGUGGCUGGAACUACAAUUUGGCGCUUUCAUUUUUAUUCGUGAUAUUGCUCCUGCUGUUCUACCUGUCAUUGCAAAUAUCAAUGCAAUCAUUCCAAUCGAGUUGGUUUUCUUCAAAAAAUAUGUUAAUCGUGUUAAAAAUUUCUUCUCCGGUUGUGUUAGUAGGCAGCGAUGAGCACAUAAACAAGUCUUCUUCGAGUGAAUGUUUAUAUGGAUAUCGCACAAUUACUAGCAAGAUGGCCAGUCCAGCAACUUCAGUCGAAUCAUCCAUUUGCAAGACGAAUUUGUUAUUUUGUAGCCGUGAAACCAGUUCUUGUUUUAUGUUCGAAAGCGGCACUAUAGAAAGAUGCUUUACAGAUUUUUCGUCGAGCAUAUAUUUUGUUAUGUCUACUAGACAUGGUUUUAUUAGCUUUUUCUCCGUGGCCUGUUCAAUCACAGUCUGAGUCGCAUAUGUCAUAGUUUUUUGGCUUCUUAAUAAUUGUUUUUUUUAACGUAGAAAAAAUUCUUUACUUUUGUUGUUGAAGUCGGGAUGUACAUACAGUUUCUAAAUGUCGGCGCAUCUUAGCAGGUACCAUAGAACUAUUAGGAAGGAGUUUGCUGCACAACAUAUAAAGAGGUGAGCCGUUGGAAUCAACAAAUCCGAGAUUAAUGUAUGAUUCGUCAUACUUUCGUUUUUUCACCUUCAGUGUGUCAUUAGAUGUUUUACUACUUGAACUUAAAACCUUAAAACUAGAACUUGACGCCGUCAUAUCACCUUGAUUUGAAUUUGACGCAUCAUCCAAGCGAACCACAUUUUUUGCAACACCUUUAAGCCAGCGCUCCAUUCUUUUUUAACACUAAUUUGAUUUGGUCAAUUUUAUGACAUAGUAUCUCUAUGUUAUAGAAUAGUAUCUCUUGACGCACGAAAUACAAGAUUUUACAACCACUAUGAACAACAACAAGACAAGCGAUCAUAAAAUACUGAGCGCGGUGUGAGUAAAUUUUGCGGUAAAGUCCAGUUCAGAGAUCUAUUAGAAUCUUUGAUGUGUCCCAGAUGCCGCACUAACUAGUCCGUGCGCCUAUGUCAUAUUUAUUGUUGCAUGAUAUAUAUGUUUAAAUGGCAAAAUUUUAUAUUGUCUAUCUAUGAAAUCAUUUUAAAUAUACGUAAAACCCCAUGUUUUAUACUAUUUUUUAUUUUUCUUUCGAAAAUUUCAAUUUUUAGAAAGAAAAUAAUAUCACAAGAAAAUAAUAUCAAAAAAUUGACCGCGGACUAAAAUCCAAGCAUCUUACAAAAUAUUUUAAACACUUCCAGCACUCACAGACUUGUCACCUCUUUUUAGCCAGUCUAUUAAACAAAGAUAAAACACCUGCGUUCUGACAAUUCCUACUUUAGGCUGUGCAAGUGAUUGUGUAUCUCUCUCUAUCCCACUGAAUUUAAGAAUUACGGGGCCGUACCCAAAUAAAUUUUUGGACCGUUUUUGUAUUAUUUUCGUCGUGUUUUUAAAGAGAUCUUUACGGAUGGGUCUAUCGCCUUUAAAAUAGUUGUUGGAUGGGUCUAUCAGCUUUAAUAGUUGGGAGGGGGGCCAUGUGAGGUUAUUAUUUGAUGUGUUUUGCCGGUUAUGCUUUUUACACGUUUAUGAAAGUAAAGAAUUUAGAAUUUGGCCUGUAUUCCUGUAAAUUUUUUGCAGUUUUUACUGUGAGGAACAGUGUUUUUUUAUUUGUGUUUGUGGAUUUGUUUUGGUAUUAUACCUAAAGACCUUAAAAUGUUUCGACCCUGGAAAAAUAGGCAGGAAAAUUUGGCAAAUGAAGAGGAAACUGUUUGUGCGGGCUUAUGGAGACCGUGGGUGUACAAGAAAGACAAUAACAUUUGUGAUAAAAACAAUAAGAGUGAUCUGGGCAGUGAUUUAGACUUACAUAGUUCUGAUAGUUCAUUUUCUAGUAUUGAGGAAGCAAAAAGAAGCAAGGGAAGUAGAAGCUACAGAGGAAAUCAAGCAGUUUUAAAAGAACAAAUUUAUCUUAAUAUCUAUAACAAUCUAAGGAAUGAUACUCAGUUCACAAAUGAUUGUAGUGCUUUGCAAAAAAUAGCGUUUUUAACAGGGGUUCCCUAUAGUACAAUAUGCCUGUAAAAAAAAGGAUUAAACACAGAAUAAAAAGGAAAGAUGCAGGACAAUCAAAGGGACUUGACAUGGAUAUUGCCAAAUUGCUAAGGAAAGGUGUGUAUUCUAAAUACAAAAACAAUGAGGUUCUGACCAUAUAGACACCUUAUCGGCAAGGGACAAACAUUUCUCAGUCUCAACCUUGCGGAGAUACCUGAUAAAACUUGGAUUUAAGCUUAAGAUGGUUAACAAAAGAGCUGCUGUAAUGGAAUUGUCAGGUGGUGUAUAGAAUAUUUGAGGAAAAUUAAAAAAAUUUGGGAGGAAGAAAGAUCCAUAUAUUAUUUAGCCGAAACAUGAUAUGAUACAUUUAUGAUUGAUGUAUGAUUUCCAUUCUCUAGGAAAAAAGUCUCUUUUUUGCCAUACUUACUGCCCCUGUUGUCCUUCAGUGAUACAAUAAAGACUGCUUCUUCCACCAUUCUCUGGGAAAAACCCUGUUUUGCUAUGCUUACUGCCCCUGUUGUCCUUCAGCAACACAAUGAAGACUGCUUCUUCCUCCAUUCUCUGGAAAAAAGUCCCUUUUUUGCCAUACUUACUGCCCCUGUUUGUCCUUCAGCGACACAAUAAAGUAUAUAUAAUGUAAUGCUUUAGAAUCCAUAUGCUGAUGUGCGAGAUGAAGUUGGAAUCCAUGGCGGCAACAGAGAAACUGUUUUCUUCCUUAACGGAAGAAACUGCUAAAGAACAAUGGCAAAAAAAACAGAAUUUAGAAAAUUUGUAUUUUCUACUUUAACUUUUUGGGCCAGAUUCAAAAGAGUGGUUAAAUUUAUAAAAGUAUUUAGUAUCCUCACUGUAGUUUUAGGAUCCAGUAUCCAGUAUACUUAAAAUGUAGUGUUUUGUAUAAGAUUUUUAGU